rnacentral:rRNA from 1 species
AACGAACGCUGGCGGCAUGCCUAACACAUGCAAGUCGAACGAGACCUUCGGGUCUAGUGGCGCACGGGUGCGUAACGCGUGGGAAUCUGCCCUUGGGUUCGGAAUAACUCAGAGAAAUUUGAGCUAAUACCGGAUGAUGACGUAAGUCCAAAGAUUUAUCGCCCAAGGACGAGCCCGCGUAGGAUUAGCUAGUUGGUGAGGUAAAGGCUCACCAAGGCGACGAUCCUUAGCUGGCUGAGAGGAUGAUCAGCCACACUGGGACUGAGACACGGCCCAGACUCCUACGGGAGGCAGCAGU